ACAAACUUGGUCAUUUAGAGGAAGUAAAAGUCGUAACAAGGUUUCCGUAGGUGAACCUGCGGAAGGAUCAUUACUGUGACAGCGCUGGGGGUCCUAGAACCCUUCAGCUUGCACACCCCUUGCGUAAAAACUUCUGGUUGCUUCGGCGGGUCGCAGUUUCACCGCUGUCAUUGCUGCUUCAGCGAUGGGUACCCGCCGGAAGACCCUUAAACCCUGGCUUUUUGAGGUGAUGUCCGAGCCAAACUUAUGAAAUAUCAUAAAACUUUCAACGAUGGAUCUCUUGGUUCCAGGAUCGAUGAAGAACGCAGC
rnacentral:misc_RNA from 1 species